AAGGAUUUAAGUUAAAGAAACUAACAACCUUCAAAGUUGUAAAUAGAAACGCGAUUCUAAGCCUUG
rnacentral:tRNA from 1 species